rnacentral:tRNA from 1 species
GCAGAGGUGGCCCAGCCUGGUUACGGCGAGAGGUUGCUAACCUCUUGGGGGAAACCCCACGGGAGUUCAAAUCUCCCCCUCUGCG